CACGUAGGGUGCAAGCGUUGUCCGGAUUCAUUGGGCGUAAAGGGCUAGUAGGCGGCUUAGCAAGUCGGGUGUGAAAACUUCAGGCUCAACCUGGAGCGGCCAUCCGAUACUGCUAUGGCUAGAGUCCGGUAGGGGACCACGGAAUUCCUGGUGUAGCGGUGAAAUGCGCAGAUAUCGGGAGGAACACCGGUGGCGAAGGCGGUUCUCUGGGCCUUACCUGACGCUGAGGAGCGAAAGCGUGGGGAGCGAACAGG
rnacentral:rRNA from 1 species